rnacentral:rRNA from 1 species
CCUACGGGAGGCUGCAGUGAGGAAUAUUGGUCAAUGGGCGGAAGCCUGAACCAGCCAAGUAGCGUGCGGGAUGAAGGCCCUACGGGUCGUAAACCGCUGUUGCACGGGGAUAACACCCUCCACUUGUGGAGGUCUGCAGGUACCGUGCGAAUAAGGGCCGGCUAAUUCCGUGCCAGCAGCCGCGGUAAUACGGAAGGCCCGAGCGUUAUCCGGAUUCAUUGGGCUUAAAGGGAGCGUAGGCGGGCGUUCAAGUCAGCUGUAAAAGCGCGCGGCUCAACCGCGCCCCGCAGUUGAAACUGGACGCCUUGAGUUCACGACAGGCAGGCGGAAUUCGUGGUGUAGCGGUGAAAUGCAUAGAUAUCACGAGGAACCCCGAUUGCGAAGGCAGCCUGCCGGGGUGCGACUGACGCUGAGGCUCGAAGGUGCGGGUAUCAAACAGGAUUAGAUACCCCUGUAGUC